GAGGCAUGCGGGUCAUUUGUAGAAUCAAAAUGGUUGAAGCAGAUCGUCCUGGGAAACUGUUCAUUGGGGGCCUAAACACAGAGACUAAUGAAAAAGCCCUUGAGGCUGUAUUCGGCAAAUAUGGACGCAUUGUGGAAGUCCUUUUGAUGAAAGAUCGUGAAACCAACAAGUCCAGAGGAUUUGCAUUUGUCACAUUUGAGAGUCCAGCAGAUGCAAAAGAUGCUGCCAGAGAUAUGAAUGGAAAGUCAUUAGAUGGGAAAGCAAUUAAAGUGGAACAAGCAACCAAGCCAUCCUUUGAAAGUGGUGGUAGGCGUGGGCCGCCACCCCCUCCACGAAGCAGAGGUCCUCCCAGGGGCCUUAGAGGUGGAAGAGGCGGAAGUGGCGCGAGAGGACCACCUUCAAGAGGGAGUCACUUGGGGUCUUCGCGAGGGCCACUUCCCAUGAAGAGAGGUCCACCUCCACGAAGUGGAGGCCCUCCACCUAAAAGAUCUGCACCUUCAGGACCAGUGCGUAGCAGUAGUAUGGGAGGAAGAGCUCCUGUGUCACGUGGAAGAGACAGUUAUGGUGGUCCUCCACGCAGAGAACCGAUGCCAUCACGAAGAGAUGUCUACAUGUCUCCAAGAGAUGAUGGCUAUAGCACUAAAGAUGGUUAUUCAAGCAGAGAUUAUCCCAGUUCCAGGGAUACACGGGACUAUGCGCCACCUCCACGAGACUACGCAUAUCGUGAUUAUGGUCAUUCCAGUUCACGUGACGAAUACCCCUCUAGGGGAUAUAGUCUUUCCUCCUAUAGUGAUCGUGAUGGAUACGGUGGUGGACGUGACAGAGACUACUCGGAUCAUCCAAGUGGAGGCUCCUACAGAGAUUCAUAUGAGAGUUAUGGAUGAUAACUUCUAGAAGACGCCACUGAAGUAAUUCUGGUUCAUCUGUGUUGAUGGCAGAGAUGGGUGGUGCCUGUACCAAUACAUAAGUUACGGUGACUAGAAGAAUGCAGUUCAGCAGUGGAUAUGCGUUGGAAAAUCGAAGGAUAACAAAAUGCAACUGAUAAAGCUUGGCUUUUGAGUGUGGUGUUACCCAGUAUUUGUUUUAGAGGGUUGUGUUAUCAUUCAAGAAUUGCCUUUGAAAGUAGCACUACUAAUCUCCUGGAUAUAAAAAAAAUUCUCAGUUGGAAGUCGGUUGCUGUCUGCCGUAGCCAGCAUCUUCCAAGAGUGAGCCUUUUUUUUAGUCAGUAUACAUGCAUCAGUAGAUUCUGCAGCAGAAAAAUACUCCAAGGUUGCCCUUUACAUAGGGUGCUUUCCGUUUGUGCUGAAAAAAAGAGCAAGUUGCAUAAAAGUGAGUUUUAAUCCUCUCAAAUACAGAGGACUAAAUUGUUACAAAUUCUUCAUCAAGAAACCAUGAAAAGUUUUACUAUGUUCUUAAAUUAACAGUUUUAUAAUUGUCCAGGCCUUCUGGAUGGGAGGAAGGAAGCGUUGAUGUACAGAGAUGAUAUUAGUGAUAAAUCCCCAGAAUAAUUAGUGUUCUCAUAUGUACUAGCUUCUUGCAAAACUCCAGACAGCACUGCAUCUCUUGCAACAAGAUGCUUUCUUCAAAACUUUGCCUUGGUUUUGAUGCAUUUUUAUCUUGCAUAUAUGUUGAUGUGCCAACGUAUGAGAGGGGAAUCCUCAGGCACCGGUAUUUCAUGUAGAAAACUAACUUCAGAUUGACUGAAGUACUUAAACAGUCACGGCUAAUAAAGUUUAUGUUGACUUUUUCUGUGGUAGAUAUAAACUGAUCUCAUUUAAACAACUAACACUCAGUUUAUAAUGAGUAGCUAAAGAAGAAAAAGCAUGCGUACCUUGUCUAGGGAUUUAAAACUACCUUUGGGUUUUGGGACAAGAAUAUCACUGCAGAUUCUAGGAGUAAGUCUGCCUGUAUGUAGCAGAUGGGUAGAAUUGCAGUAUUUCCCAGGGCUAAUAAAUUUACUGUUAAACAAAAGCAUUAUGGGUUUUGGUUUUUUUUAUUAAAAUAAAAUACCUGUUACUUAGCAACACUUGCAUGGUAAAAAAGAUUACUAGUGUUACAUAUUGAUGGCGGUAAUAUUGUUACAAGGUGGUUUCAGAGAAGUGUUACGUUCUGCAAGAAAGAAUAAUAAGCUGUAGUAUUAAGAAAUUCCUUUUUCAGCAGUAGCUUAUAGUCUGGGUACUGCUGUUUAGGCUAAAAUAGAUCAUCCUGACUAAAAUCUAAUGCCAACAUAUGAGCUAUCGUACAAAAAAAGAAUGAUACCUGCCUAAAAUGCUAAAUAAUGAGAAUGUACCACCAAUGUAAAUUAGCUCAUGUGCUGACUCAAACUUCAUCACUGAAAGUCACUAGUUUAAAUGUAAGACAUCAGUAGAUUUUGCAGCAGAAAAAUACUCUAGCGUUGUUCUUUGUAUUGGGUGUUUUCCCUCUAUGCUGAAAAAAAGAGCAAGUUACAUAAAAGUGAGUGACUUUGAGGAGAAUCACUCUAGAAUGUUUUCUGAACAUCUGAAUGCUAUUCUUAACUUGCUCCUGUUACCAUGCUGUUACUGAUGUAUAUGCCAUCAGUCCUUUGAUAAUUGGGUAUAGACCACCCCCCACCUCCCUUUUU